GACGAACGCUGGCGGCGUGCUUAACACAUGCAAGUCGAACGGAAAGGCCCUGCUUUUGUGGGGUGCUCGAGUGGCGAACGGGUGAGUAACACGUGAGUAACCUGCCCUUGACUUUGGGAUAACUUCAGGAAACUGGGGCUAAUACCGGAUAGGAGCUCCUGCUGCAUGGUGGGGGUUGGAAAGUUUCGGCGGUUGGGGAUGGACUCGCGGCUUAUCAGCUUGUUGGUGGGGUAGUGGCUUACCAAGGCUUUGACGGGUAGCCGGCCUGAGAGGGUGACCGGCGACAUUGGGACUGAGAGACGGCGCAGACUCCUACGGGCGGCAGUAGGCGGGAAUAUUGCAGAAUGGGCGGAAGCCUGAUGCAGCAACGCCGCGUGCGGGAUGACGGCCUUCUGGUUGUAAACCGCUUUGGCAUGUGACGAAGAGGGAGUGACGGUAAUGGGUAAAGAAGCACCGGCUAACUACGUG
rnacentral:rRNA from 1 species